UCACCCCCGCUUCUGCCGCCGCCGCCGCCGCCGCCGCCGCGCUCUCUGGCAGGCUAGUGUUCUCGCCGCGCUGCCCCCUCCCCGAAUAGUUAGCUCUCGAUCCGCAUCGCCGUCCUAUCUCCGAAUCGCUAGCUCUGGAUCCGCGCUGUUUUCCUUGUCUUGCUUCGUUUGCGUCGCUGCUUGCUUUGUUUGUUUGUUUGUUUUCGGUUUUGAUUUGGUUUGCCUAACAUUGCAAUUGUCCGGCGCUGCAUCCGGUGCGGCGGUCAAUCUAUCCUUAGGCGAGAGCGAACCCAAGGGGAGGGCGCUUUCCUAGCUCUUCUCGCCUGCUUUUUAAGCUCCGGUCUUCCUGCUUUUUUCCCAGGAUUCGCCGGUGACAAAGCAGGCAAAUUUCUUCUAUUUUUUGUUUGUUUGUUUGACUGUUCUUCGGAUAUGUGGCUAGCGAUGGCAAUGGCGAGGAUGACGAAGAAAAUCAAUCGGAUUCCCAUUGAUUUCUACGGAAAGAUGAGAUCUUAACCAGCUACUUCUGAUUCGCGAUGCCGCUGUCAUUUUCUUGUUUCUCUUGGAAGAUAUUUCUUUGUAUAUAUUUUUCUUUUUCUGUCGAUUGAUGGCGAGGAUGACGAAGAAAAUCAAUCGGAUUCCCAUUGAUUUCUACGCGAAAGAUGAGAUCUUAAACCAGCUACUUCUGACCCGCGAUGCCGCUGCCAUUGACUGCUUCUUAGAUGACAUUUUUUGUUUUUUUUUUCUUUUUGUUUCUCCUGUGGAGAUGGUUGGAUACCUGCAUGUGAUAAUCCGUGGAGGCCGGUGAUGUGAUCAAAAUAUUUGCUACUCUUGAUGGGGCAAGAGCCCCGCUUGAUGAUCACGAACCACCAAGAUCUCUGAGGCCCUCUGUAAUCGGUCAUGCUCUUUGUUUCUGAAUGUUCGAAUUAGCCUACAGGGCACUCUUAACAGGUUCCGAUUCAAGAUGACAGAACUAUUAUCAUCUGAUUAACAUUUUUGGAGACGUAAAUUCAUCCGGAACAGAAGAGUCAGUCUGCAUAUUGGUAAAGGCUAGCCGGGAUGAAGAAAACCAAUCUGUUUUCCUUUAAUUUGAACUGUAUGGGAGAGCCAGAAUGUGGAAAACCAAUCUAUUUCCUGUUAAUUUGAACCUGCUAUGUUAAAAAAUGUAAAUUACCUGCUCCAACCAGUUAGAGAAUAACUUUCUUCAAA